GCGUAGGUUCUUUCGAUAGAAUCAAGGACGAUCUACACCAUAGUUUGAAUAUGUAUUAUUUACACUAACACAAGCUCAAAAGCCAGUGCGAAAACUAUAUACAAAAAAGGUGAUUAUCAAAUUAUCCUGAAUGUCCCAGUUAUCCUAGUGCAAGUGUAAUUCUAUCCUAGUUCAAUUAACUAACCGUGUUCGAUAUAAGAGAUUAAUAAUGAACUGUUUAUAUUAGAAUGCGUGCAAGAUAUCUAUAAUGUUCAAAGUACUGUCAAUUCUCGACAUCCUCCGGGGGGCGCGAGAGUAUGGAUGUCCACUGUUUCAAUUUCUCCUUUGCCAAUCGUGCUUUUGCUCGAACAGGUCUGCUUGACGUUUGAUCUAUGACGUCAGCUGGGUGAGGAUUUGUUGAGGGAUUCUUUGCGUCUAGGUUUUCGUCAAUGGUGAUCUUUGGGUUCUCUGUUGUUGUGGAUUUAACUUCGAGUGGGUAAAGUUUAGUUACUGGUCUGUUCGUAUGUCCAGUACUUGUUUUGAUAUUUGCUGCCCGUACUAGUCCGUCUUUUCCCUUGAUUAAACUUUGUACAACAGCAAGUCUCCAGUUAACACGUUUCGUGUCAUCGUGUACUUGAACGACAUCACCAACACGUAUCUCGGUUGAAUUGUUUCCAGUGGUUUUAUGAAAUUCCCGUAAGCUCGUCAGAUAUUCUUGACGCCAACGUUUCCAAAAGUGUUGUAUUAGGUGUGUUCUCAAUUUUGCUUGGACAUCAAUGUUACUAGGUUCGGAUUCAUAGAUAGGAUCACGAAACUCGUCGUCUUCGUAAAGGGGGUGGGGUAAGGUGGUAAUUCUCCGGCCAUACAGUAGAUGGGAUGGUGUUAAUGGUUCUGUGUCGUCUAGUUCUGAUGAUACGUGGGUUAACGGGCGGUCAUUGAGGAUUGCUUCCGUUUCGGAGGAAAUUGUUUGGAGCUCUUCUAAAGUGACAUUCGCCUUUCCGAGAACCCUUUUCAAGGAGUUUUUUGUCAGACCAAUUAAUCUUUCCCAGAAACCACCGUACCAUGGUGCUCGUUUUGGGAUAAAUUUCCACUGGAUUCCUCGUUUACUGAGAUUGGUUUCCAACUCUGUUGAAUUGAAUAGUAGGGUCAACUCUUCCGCGGCAGAUUGGUACGUUGAUGCAUUGUCUGACACCAUAAUUUUUGGUAAGGACUUGCGGCUUGCGAAUCUUCGAAAGGCAGACAUGAAGGUCGGAACAGUUAAAUUUGUGACUACUUCGAGGUGGACUGCGCGUGUGUUUGCACAGGUGAACAAGCAGAUGUAGACCUUUUCUUGUCCACGUGGCGUUUUGACGUAGAUGGCCCCGGUGAAGUCUACACCGGUGACGGUAAAUGGGUGGGAGUCAGUCAUUCUAUAGAAUGGAAGUGGAGGUGGGUCAGGGGCAUUGUAUGGUGUUCCGAAGACCUUUCGACACGUUACACAUUUGCGAAGUAUUUUCUUGAUGUACUGGCGAGCUGUUGGAAUCCAAUACUUCUGGCGUAUUUGUGUCAGGGUUUGGUUUAAUCCAGCGUGUUGUAGUUUCUCGUGUGCAUCGUUGACAACCAGCAAGGUGAAAUGGUGGUUUGGGGGUAAGAGUAUGGGAAACUUUGCUGAAUGUUCCACUGGUGCAUUGUGAAUUCUGCCACCACAACGAAUGAUGUUGUCUUCCAGAGUAAACAGGCGAAGUUGACGUACAAGGGGUAGACGAGAGGUUUUCGGCUUUUGUAUGUUGGCAAGUUCGUUACCGUAGGCGUCGUUUUGGAUUUCCCGUAUCCAAACAUUUCUCGCGUUUUCAACUUCGUGGACCUUUAGUGGUUUUCCCUUACAUGCGUUGCCCUUUUGCAGGGUAUUAACGAAGCGAAGUACCCAUGCUGUAGUUCGCAGUAGUCGUUGAAGGUCACUGAAUUUGGUAGGUGGAAUAAUCUGGGUUAUGCUGGCGUUUGUAGAUGUGUCGGUGACUUCGGCAGUGACUUUGCUCGUUUCUUGAUCUUCGUCGAGGCAGGACUGCAGAAGAACGUUGUUAGGUUUCCAUUCUGGCCAGUGGUCGUGGUUGGUUAGCCAAGGUGGGCCAUGCGUCCACAAAUUAGACUUGGAAAGGUCGUCUGUCGAGAUUCCUCGUGUUAGGAGAUCUGCUGGAUUGUCAGAAGUUGGACAGUAGUUCCAGGUGGCAUUGUUGGUGGCUUGGUGAAUUUCUUUAACUCGGUUCUGAAUAAAGC
rnacentral:lncRNA from 1 species